GCUUGCCCCUCUAAGUAGCAGUCGCCUGCGGCCGAAGCGCAGCCAGCCGCUACAGGGCGCCCCCGGGAGCGCCGAGAGUCGCGCCCGUGCGACGGCACGCGGCUACAUAGGCCGAAGCGGCAGCACGUGAAGAGGGGACCAUCUUGCAGCGCUGGGCGACCCACAGCCAGAUGCCGGGCCCACGCCACAGACUGCGCGGCGGCCAUUUUGCCGCGCGCAGUUUGGGGGCCAGCGGGCCGGCCGACGGGCCGCCAUGCGCGUUCCAUAGUCCGGCGUGUGUGUAAACUUGCCACGCAGCUCCGGCAGCGUUCGCGCGCGGUGCCAUGUGCCUCCAUGCCUGGAUCGCGGCAGUGGCCAGGACCGGGCGACAACCAGCAUGCCAAUUGGAAGCUGUCCGGAUGCUUGCAGGGUCGCACCCCCAGCCCCCGAGCAGAGGGCGCGGAGCGCAACCG
rnacentral:rRNA from 1 species